GGUUGAUCCUGCCAGUAGUCAUAUGCUUGUCUCAAAGAUUAAGCCAUGCACGUCUAAGGAUAAAUAUUUUUAACCAUAAACCUGCGAAAGGCUCAUUAAAUCAGUAAUAAUCUAUUCUAUUAUUUAAUUCUAUUUGGAUAACUGUAGUAAUUCUAGAGCUAAUACAUGCAAAAAACCUGAACUUUACAGAACGGGUGUACUUAUUAGAUAUUAAAACCGAUGGCACUUGUGUCUCUUUAAAAUGAAUUAAAAUAAGUUUAUGAAUCGCAGAUCAUUUUGUGAUGAUAAGAAU
rnacentral:rRNA from 1 species